UGUCUAUGGGUGUCCACAGAGGAGGAGAUCGGAGUAUGCACGUCAUCAGUGCGCGACGCAGCGUGCAAGAUUGUGAAGGACGCCGAGGAGAAGCUUGUGAUGAAAUAAGUCAAAUAUAAAGCUGAUUCUGAUUCUGAAGCCAAAGACACAAAACUAUCAGCUGUCAAUGUGUCUCUGCUCUUCAGCUGUGUCAGGAGGACGUGGUAAUGAUGGCGGUGUCGUGUCUAACUCGAGCCCUGCGCUCCCUGACUCUGUCCCAGCCUGCUCUGCUCUGCUCGCAGGCAGUUGCUCAGACCAAGCUGGGAACUCAGGUAACCAGUACAGUCGGGCAGUGCAGAGGCUUCCUCACCACAGCCUCUCUGGAGCAGAACAGGACAUUUUGGAAGCAGAGGGAGAAGUACACCACCAGGCCUAUAGGAAU